rnacentral:misc_RNA from 1 species
AACCGCUCAGUACGAGACCCGUACGCUGAGUGGUGUGAGGGGUGCACUCCGUCAUUUAAUGACGGAACCGCCCACUCGAU